GGCCCCCAGCUAGACGACUGGGUUGAUAGGCCGGAAAUGUAAGCCCGGUAACGGGUUCAGUUGACCGGUACUAAUAGGCCGAGGACUUGACUAC
rnacentral:rRNA from 1 species